GGGUCGUUAGCUCAGCUGGUUAGAGCACCGGCCUUUUAAGCCGGGUGUCCUGGGUUCGAGUCCCAGACGACCCACCA
rnacentral:tRNA from 1 species